UCCUAUUGUUUUUGACAGUCGACAACUGUCACAUUUUCUGACCGUAAUUUUUCCAAUUUUUAAGUGUGUUUUGUACUGUUUUUACAAUAAAACGCUAUGGUUAAUUCUUAUGUAGUGUGCAGAAUCCGCUAAAUCUUGGAUUUCUUUCCACAAGUUACCCUCAGGUGAAACUUUGAGACGUUAGUGGAUCAAUGCUUUGGGAUUAGGAGAUUUCGUUUUGACCAAAUAUACAUAUGUUUGCUCAAAACCCUUUUUUUAUAUAAUAAAUGUAUUUCCUAAUUCAAUUACGUCCUAAUAAACGUCUCCUUUUUUAAUUACAAAACGA